UACGGGGGGGGCAAGCGUUGUUCGGAAUUACUGGGCGGAAAGGGCUCGUAGGCGGCCAACUAAGUCAGACGUGAAAUCCCUCGGCUUAACCGGGGAACUGCGUCUGAUACUGGAUGGCUUGAGGUUGGGAGAGGGAUGCGGAAUUCCAGGUGUAGCGGUGAAAUGCGUAGAUAUCUGGAGGAACACCGGUGGCGAAGGCGGCAUCCUGGACCAAUUCUGACGCUGAGGAGCGAAAGCCAGGGGAGCGAACGGG
rnacentral:rRNA from 1 species